rnacentral:miRNA from 1 species
CCCAGUGUUCAAACUACCUGUUC